rnacentral:rRNA from 1 species
CCUACGGGAGGCAGCAGUGAGGAAUAUUGGUCAAUGGACGAGAGUCUGAACCAGCCAAGUAGCGUGAAGGAUGACGGCUCUAUGGGUUGUAAACUUCUUUUAUAUGGGAAUAAAAUGUUCCACGUGUGGGUUUUUGUAUGUACCAUAUGAAUAAGGAUCGGCUAACUCCGUGCCAGCAGCCGCGGUAAUACGGAGGAUCCGAGCGUUAUCCGGAUUUAUUGGGUUUAAAGGGUGCGUAGGUGGUUUGUUAAGUCAGUUGUGAAAGUUUGCGGCUCAACCGUAAAAUUGCAGUUGAAACUGGCAGUCUUGAGUACAGUAGAGGUGGGCGGAAUUCGUGGUGUAGCGGUGAAAUGCUUAGAUAUCACGAAGAACUCCGAUUGCGAAGGCAGCUCACUGGACUGCAACUGACACUGAGGCACGAAAGUGUGGGUAUCAAACAGGAUUAGAUACCCGAGUAGUC